ACAGAACAGGCGCUGGGGUUGCCAGGUAGGAUAUAUCCUGUAUAAUAUUUUUUUAUUUAUAUAUAUACUAUUAUAUAUAAAUAUUAGGUAUAUCAUAUAUAUUAUCUAACAUUAUAUUUAUAUAUUAUAUAUCAUACAGUGCAUCACAUACCAUAAUCAUGCAUCCGACAAACGAUAGAUACCAUUGAGUGGUGUCUGUUAAUGAAUACAGCUUAGGAGGUGGUUGCAAAAUUUCCAACCUAAUACCAGUAUCAAAUGAAUAUUAUAGUAAUGCCUGCUCAUGUUUUAUAUUUGAGGGAAAUAAUUGAAAUUAAACUGGAAUUGAGUUUAACCGUUUUACUGUCAUAUAAAAAAAGCUUAUGUUUCUAACCCACAUAUUGUCCUUAUCUGGCAACCCUGAUUCCUGAAGCAGGAAGAGCCCAGUGGUCACGUGACGAAAGCAGUGUUGCCAGAUUGGGCAACACUGAUGGCAACACUGGCUGCAGCGCGCUAUAGCCAGUGUUGCCAGAUUGGGCGGGGAAAUCUGGCCCAAUCUGGCAACACUUUCACGACGGGCCACCACAGCAGCAACAAACCAACAAUGUGACGGGAUGGUGGAGUUAACCUUCAGCAAUCUCAUAACACGUGUUUUAAUGAGUUUCCUCCUGGUUAAAAAAAAGCGAAUACAUGCUGGGAGACCAAAUUACAUAACUUGUUGGAGACCUAAACCGCAUUGGUCGUUUAACGCCAGUGAUCCGCGUGUGUUGGCUCCUCGUGAGGGCUGUCAACAUGGGAGGCUGCUCGGCCACAGGCUGUUCCAGUCGCAACGAGAAGGGGAAGAAAUUGCAUUGUUUUCCCCGAGAUCCUGUCAGAAGAGAGAUAUGGGAGAAAAUGGUUGGAAGGCGCAACUGGAAAGCCCACGACAGGUCGAGGCUCUGCGAGGACCACUUCGAGGAGUCGCAGUACGAGUCCAGGCGCAUGGACAACCUAAGGAAGUUGAAGCCCAAUGCAAUUCCAACCAAGUUCAACCACUUUAAGAAAAACAAGACGCUACGACAAAUAGUGGAGAAUCUGACGAAAACACUAGUUCACUCCCCUCUGCCAGAAAGACACAGUGUUGAACACUCCUAUAGCCAGAGUUCAGAGAAGGGGCCCACAGAGAAAGAAGAUAAUGGGUACCAUUUCAAUACGGACGAUGGCCCAGGUGAUGCAAUACUAAAACCAGAGAACUUUGGACUGCCUCUACAUUGUGUUUUUCUACGACCACUCGACACUGAGGACCUACCCCCGGCCCUGUGCGAGCCCUCACCAGAGCCGCCAUCAGAACAACCAAAGGAGAACGGCCAAUCCACGGCAAACACAAACACUUAUUUGCCCGGUUGUGAGGUUGCACAUUUGAAGGACGCCAUGAGAAAGAAGGACGAGCGAAUCGGGAUUCUCCUCCGGGCAGUGGUGACCGAGCGGCGGGAGAAACACAGGCUGGAGCGGGAGAAGCAGAACCUGGUGCAGAACAUUGAGAAGGUGUUCAACACCAAUCAGCUGGCCAGGCUCGGCCGGAAGAGUGGCCGAGGCGUCAAGUGGUCGAGUGAGACCAUGGAGAAGGCCCGGCAGCUCAGGGCGGCGUGCGGGGUCAAGGGGUACAUGAUGCUCAGGGCACAGAAUCAGCCUCUGCCGUCGUUACGCUGCCUCAGGAAGCUGACCCCCCUGAGGAGGAACGGACUGGACAGGGGGCCACGGCGGACCACAGGAGGGGGGGACAGUUAACAAGCCACCAUUGGUGCAAAGGGUGCCUAUGCUGCAAAGUCAACGCCAUAGAAUGGCUCCGUCGUAGGGGGGAUGAGCGUUUCCCGUAUUAGGGCUGGGCAAAAUGAAGUAUUUAUCAUUGAAAAGAAUUCUAGCAUUUCACAUGGUUUCAGUAUUUCUGAAUAGCUGCUCUUGAAAAUAAAAAACAUAUCACAUCGUAAAUAAUUAAAUUCAAGUUUGGAAUAAGAAUGUGAUAUAAUAACCGAUGACCGAUUUUUUAAUUAAUUAGGGUUAGGAAUUUUAGGACAUGCCUAAGGCUCUCAUCAAAAUGUACUGUAAAAAUGUAUAUCAUCAUUGUUAGUUUGGGUCUGUAUGAUGCCAAUCAAAUAUGGAAAGAUAAUAUAAAAUAAUAGCCUUGCCCUUAAUCAGAAAAUAGCUGCCUUACAGUGCAAGACUUUCAGUUGUCCCUAAACCAUGGGGUCUGUGCCUAGCCGACAGAUACAAGUCCACACCAAGACGCAAGUUACAUUUUGUUGGGGUUAGUAUAUGUUUCCUCACUUUGCUUGACAAUAUCCCAUAGGCAAUAUGUUAAGGUGAAUUAAGAUGAACAGAUAUGCAUUGUGGAUCCAAUGUUGGAUGUCAUUUUUGCCUUAGAAUAAAAUGUGGCCUAUACUUUUGCAGUAAAUCCAACUGUAUUUUAUAUAGUAUUUUAAGACAGUUGACACUCGUUAAUAAUACAAUACAAAAUGAUGCUUGAUUAUGUUCUGGGAGAAAUCAUGAAAUGUGUAAUUGGACCUGACACUAUGCGGCAGUAUUCCCCUCAGAGCACCAGGGUCGGCCACUAAUCCCCUCAGAGCACAAGGGUUGGCCGCUAUGUGGCAGUAGGCCCCUCAAAGCACAAGGGUCGGCCACUAUCUGGCAGCAGUCCCCUCAGAACCAGUAGUCCCCUCAGGGCAAUAGGGACGACCACUAGGUGGCAGUAUUCCCCUCAGAACCAGUAGUCCCCUCAGAGCACCAGGGUCGACCACUAGGCAGCAGUAGUCCUCUCAGAGCACCAUGUUCGACCACUAGGUGGUAGUAGUACUCUCAGAGCACCAUGGUUGGCCGUUUGGAUUCUGGCCGAAGAAGAGCAUUGUGCUUGCGCCGGGAAAGAGGCGACGCGCUACAUGUCUGCUUUGACAUAAUCUAAACUAAAGGAUAAAGGAAAAUUCAAGGUAAAUACGUCGGUUACAAAUAAAAAGACACACAAUACGGGUAAGGGAUAUUCGACCACGUUUUCAGGCAAAUUAAAUUGAAGGUGGUGGAUUGUACCAUUUUAGUUGAGUUAGCUGACGGCUAACAGGUUAGCUAAUCGUAGCUCUUAAAAUGACCAAAACACGAGGAUCCGCGUUAAAAAGACCCGUUUAAAAAUCCGCUGGAGAGAUGACUGUCGUGUUUCUAAAUUAAAAGCGGAGAGGUUACCAAAGAUCUAGUAUCAAUAGGUAUAAUUAAACCUGUCAUUCCUCAUGCUGGCGCUCAGCUUACGGCGCCUUGGUGAAGUUAACCCUACAUCAAGGUUAGCUCACCAUAACCAACUCUGACUAAACUGCCUUCACCGAGCUGAGUUCCCCUUUGAGUAGGUUUCGAGGAAAAUGCAACGUAAUAAAUGUACUGAAAUGUGGCUUGUUCAUUUCGGAUGCAAAAUGCGGCAGUCUAAACAUAAUUUAAGUUUGUUACCUAUUCCUAGGACAACAUGUUUGUAUAAAGAAUGACCAGUUGUUAAUGUAUGGCUUCAUUUAUAAUUUCAUAAUGUAUAAUCUUAGAUACAACAAUUAAAUGUUUUUGCAGAAUUUCUGGGGGGAGGCGGCAUAGACUCUGGGGCGGAAGCUAUCAACUAAAGGGGGCGGAGUUACGGCCUAUUUAUUUACAGAGGUAUCUCACAGAAGAAAGCUAAUUUGCGAGAGUGAAUUACGAUUUCAGAAGUGGUUGAUUAUGGCGACACAUUAGUGCCAUAAUUCACUAAUGUGAUAAAAGAUGCAUUUGGGCGUAUUAUAUUAUUCCACACGCGUAGAUUUUAACUGCGUGCGCGCAAAUGAUCUCUACGCGCGCGCAAAUUACCUCUGCGCGCGCAAAACUGACUCUCGCGCGCGCAAAUUACCUCUGCGCGCGCAAAACAGCCUCUCGCGCGUAACAGCCUCUCUCGAAUGAUGUUCUGCUCUCGCGCGCAAAUUUAGUUUUGGCACUAUGGGGGAGGGAACCAAGGCAGGGCGGGCUUUCCUAUGAUUGGCCGUUUCUGAAGCGCGAUAUUUGAUUUACGGCCCUCCUCAGCCCUCCUCUCAUUCUAUUCUGAAUUGUACAGUAAAUGGCUGAAACGAUAGUUACGUGUAACUCCAGAUUCUAUGAGUAUAGGCGCAGCCUUUUGAGUGUCGGCCUCAUUGUCCUUUAAAUAGCUGAAGAAAAGCUGUUUAUUGGGAGCAGAACGUACGCCGGCGCCCGACUAUAUCUGCGAAAUGCGGACGUCGUUGAGGCACGCCGCACGCGGACGUAAUUGAGGCCCACGCUGUUGGUGGUCGGGGAUUACAAAUUUUUCAGUGCUACGGCUCACGCCUAGGGAUAACCCAAUAGCGAUAGCCUUAAAAGGCUGCGCCUAUACUCAUAGAAUCUAGAGUUACAAUACGUAACUAUCGUUUCAGCCAUUUACUGUACAAUUCAGAAUUGAAUGAGAGGAGGGCUGUCAAUCAAAUAUCGCGCUUCAGAAACGGCCAAUCACAGGAAAGCCCGCCCUGUCUUGGUUCCCUCCC
ensembl:lncRNA